AGCGAACGCUGGCGGUAGGCCUAACACAUGCAAGUCGAACGGCAGCACAGUAAGAGCUUGCUCUUACGGGUGGCGAGUGGCGGACGGGUGAGGAAUACAUCGGAAUCUACUUUUUCGUGGGGGAUAACGUAGGGAAACUUACGCUAAUACCGCAUACGACCUACGGGUGAAAGCAGGGGAUCUUCGGACCUUGCGCGAUUGAAUGAGCCGAUGUCGGAUUAGCUAGUUGGCGGGGUAGAGGCCCACCAAGGCGACGAUCCGUAGCUGGUCUGAGAGGAUGAUCAGCCACACUGGAACUGAGACACGGUCCAGACUCCUACGGGAGGCAGCAGUGGGGAAUAUUGGACAAAGGGCGCAAGCCUGAUCCAGCCAUACCGCGUGGGUGAAGAAGGACUUCGGGUUGUAAAGCCCUUUUGUUGGGAAAGAAAAGCAGCAGGUUAAUACCCCGCUGUUCUGACGGUACCCAAAGAAUAAGCACCGGCUAACUUCGUG
rnacentral:rRNA from 1 species